AGCCCUGAUCCAGCAUGCCGCGUGUGUGAAGAAGGCCUUCGGGUUGUAAAGCACUUUUGUCCGGAAAGAAAUCCUCUGGGUUAAUACCUCGGGGGGAUGACGGUACCGGAAGAAUAAGCACCGGCUAACUACGUGCCAGCAGCCGCGGUAAUACGUAGGGUGCAAGCGUUAAUCGGAAUUACUGGGCGUAAAGCGUGCGCAGGCGGUUUUGUAAGACGGAUGUGAAAUCCCCGGGCUCAACCUGGGAACUGCAUUCGUGACUGCAAGGCUAGAGUAUGGCAGAGGGGGGUAGAAUUCCACGUGUAGCAGUGAAAUGCGUAGAGAUGUGGAGGAAUACCGAUGGCGAAGGCAGCCCCCUGGGCCAAUACUGACGCUCAUGCACGAAAGCGUGGGGAGCAAACAGGAUUAGAUACCCUGGUAGUCCACGCCCUAAACGAUGUCAACUAGUUGUUGGGGAUUCAUUUCCUUAGUAACGUAGCUAACGCGUGAAGUUGACCGCCUGGGGAAUAACGGUCGCAAAUAAAACCCCAAGGGAAAUUUUGACGGAG
rnacentral:rRNA from 1 species